rnacentral:rRNA from 1 species
AUUGAACGCUGGCGGCAGGCUUAACACAUGCAAGUCGAACGAUGAUUAUCUAGCUUGCUAGAUAUGAUUAGUGGCGGACGGGUGAGUAACAUUUAGGAAUCUGCCUAGUAGUGGGGGAUAGCUCGGGGAAACUCGAAUUAAUACCGCAUACGACCUACGGGUGAAAGGGGGCGCAAGCUCUUGCUAUUAGAUGAGCCUAAAUCAGAUUAGCUAGUUGGUGGGGUAAAGGCCCACCAAGGCGACGAUCUGUAACUGGUCUGAGAGGAUGAUCAGUCACACCGGAACUGAGACACGGUCCGGACUCCUACGGGAGGCAGCAGUGGGGAAUAUUGGACAAUGGGGGCAACCCUGAUCCAGCCAUGCCGCGUGUGUGAAGAAGGCCUUUUGGUUGUAAAGCACUUUAAGCAGGGAGGAGAGGCUAAUGGUUAAUAUCCAUUAGAUUAGACGUUACCUGCAGAAUAAGCACCGGCUAACUCUGUGCCAGCAGCCGCGGUAAUACAGAGGGUGCGAGCGUUAAUCGGAAUUACUGGGCGUAAAGCGAGUGUAGGUGGCUCAUUAAGUCACAUGUGAAAUCCCCGGGCUUAACCUGGGAACUGCAUGUGAUACUGGUGGUGCUAGAAUAUGUGAGAGGGAAGUAGAAUUCCAGGUGUAGCGGUGAAAUGCGUAGAGAUCUGGAGGAAUACCGAUGGCGAAGGCAGCUUCCUGGCAUAAUAUUGACACUGAGAUUCGAAAGCGUGGGUAGCAAACAGGAUUAGAUACCCUGGUAGUCCACGCCGUAAACGAUGUCUACUAGCCGUUGGGGUCCUUGAGACUUUAGUGGCGCAGUUAACGCGAUAAGUAGACCGCCUGGGGAGUACGGCCGCAAGGUUAAAACUCAAAUGAAUUGACGGGGGCCCGCACAAGCGGUGGAGCAUGUGGUUUAAUUCGAUGCAACGCGAAGAACCUUACCUGGUCUUGACAUAGUGAGAAUCCUGCAGAGAUGCGGGAGUGCCUUCGGGAAUUCACAUACAGGUGCUGCAUGGCUGUCGUCAGCUCGUGUCGUGAGAUGUUGGGUUAAGUCCCGCAACGAGCGCAACCCUUUUCCUUAUUUGCCAGCGGGUUAAGCCGGGAACUUUAAGGAUACUGCCAGUGACAAACUGGAGGAAGGCGGGGACGACGUCAAGUCAUCAUGGCCCUUACGACCAGGGCUACACACGUGCUACAAUGGUAGGUACAGAGGGUUGCUACACAGCGAUGUGAUGCUAAUCUCAAAAAGCCUAUCGUAGUCCGGAUUGGAGUCUGCAACUCGACUCCAUGAAGUCGGAAUCGCUAGUAAUCGCGGAUCAGAAUGCCGCGGUGAAUACGUUCCCGGGCCU